AGGUAAUUCAUUUUCUCAGAAAAGUUCUCCACAAAUUAUUUAUGCAAUACAAACAGAGUCCUAGUUAAGGAAUAAUACCAAUAAGGUUCAAAAAGCAAAUUUUAUCAAAAGGUAAAGGGUGCCUGUGCAUGAGGCUUCCCAGAUAUUUUAUCAGACAAGAUAACACCAGUACACCACAACAGAAGCUCCAAACGAAAAUGUAAUUUUCCUUAACUUGACAACUAUUUUAUACAAUGUAUAACGCAAAAUCAAGUGAUAAAUGGCAAAUGGGCUGCAAAUAUCAGAUUAGUUUUUGUAGAAAUUGUGGUCCUAAGACCCAGAAAGUUGCUUGGCUGAUACACUCCCCGGCAAGUGUCCAAAAUUCUGAUAAACUAAUAAAAACUUCUGAAACAGAUCACCAACCUCAUUUGGAUCAAAUAAUAUACAUUUGAUGGUCUCAAAGGCAACCGAUAUUUAAUGUUUCAGCCCGUAGAAAAGCUUCACGUAAUGUACAAAAAAAAAAGGAAAAAU
rnacentral:misc_RNA from 1 species